CCUACGGGUGACAGCAGUGGGGAAUAUUGCACAAUGGGGGAAACCCUGAUGCAGCGACGCCGCGUGAGCGAAGCAGUACCUCGGUAUGUAAAGCUCUAUCAGCAGGGAAGAAAAUGACAGUACCUGAGUAAGAAGCCCCGGCUAACUACGUGCCAGCAGCCGCGGUAAUACGUAGGGGGCAAGCGUUAUCCGGAUUUACUGGGGGUAAAGGGAGUGUAGGCGGCGGUGCAAGUCUGGUGGGAAAGGCGGGGGCUCAACCCCGGGACUGCAGUGGAAACUGUCGGGCUAGAGUGUAGGAGGGGUAAGCGGAAUUCCUAGGGUAGCGGUGAAAUGCGUAGAUAUUAGGAGGAACACCAGUGGCGAAGGCGGCUUACUGGACGGUAACUGACGUUGAGGCUCGAAAGCGUGGGGAGCAAACAGGAUUAGAUACCCCAGUAGUC
rnacentral:rRNA from 1 species